rnacentral:lncRNA from 1 species
GACUUCUCCAAGUGAAAAGAAUCGCCGAGACCCUGAGACCUCCUGUGAGUGCUGGCCUCUUGCAUCAGUGGGCUUUAACCCAGCCCCUGUGAGAUGAGUUGGGAAGAUACUGGGCUUUGGCUAUGCUGCAAACUUGUAUUCGACAAAGACGUUAGAAAAUGGAUGGAUGGAUUAAAGAAAUGACCAACAACAGUCAAUCCUGCUACAGCAGUGAUCUUCGCUCCUGGUGCUCGAGAGGCUCAGGAAAGGCUCCUGGCUUCUAUUUCACCAACAUGUGUCUUGUCCCUGAGUGGUGUUACAGCCUCCCCAGCUAAUGAUGAAUGCCAUUCUGCCCCUGCUGGGAUUUGAUCAUGGCCACUGAAUCACUCGGGUUAUUCCCAGAGAGCAGAGAAUUCCUCUGCUCCCAAAGGCUGCGUCU